GACGAACGCUGGCGGCGUGCCUAACACAUGCAAGUCGAACGGGGUAAGACGCUGAAACGAGAUUAGUUUACUAAAGGAAUUUCUUGUUUUACCUAGUGGCGGACGGGUGAGUAACGCGUGAGCAACCUGCCUUACAGAGGGGGACAACAGUUGGAAACGACUGCUAAUACCGCAUAAUGUACCGAGAGGACAUCCAUUUGGUACCAAAGGAGCAAUCCGCUGUAAGAUGGGCUCGCGUCCGAUUAGAUAGUUGGCGGGGUAACGGCCCACCAAGUCGACGAUCGGUAGCCGGACUGAGAGGUUGAACGGCCACAUUGGGACUGAGACACGGCCCAGACUCCUACGGGAGGCAGCAGUGGGGGAUAUUGCACAAUGGGGGAAACCCUGAUGCAGCAACGCCGCGUGAGGGAUGAAGGUUUUCGGAUUGUAAACCUCUGUCCUAAGUGAAGAGCAGAAGACGGUAGCUUAGGAGGAAGCCCCGGCUAACUACGUG
rnacentral:rRNA from 1 species